rnacentral:rRNA from 1 species
CAGUUCAGAUCGUAGGCUGCAACUCGCCUACGUGAAGGAGGAAUCGCUAGUAAUCGCAGGUCAGCAUACUGCGGUGAAUACGUUCCCGGGCCUUGUACACACCGCCCGUCACACCAUGGAAGUUGGCCACGCCCGAAGCCGUUACUCCAACCCUUGUGGAGGAGGACGUCGAAGGUGGGGCUGAUGACUGGGGUGAAGUCGUAACAAGGUAUCCGUACCGGAAGGUGCGGAUGGAUCACCUCCUAA